rnacentral:rRNA from 1 species
GCGAGAAACCUUUACAAUGCACGUAAGUGUGAUAAGGGAAUCCCUAGUGCUCUGCUUCGGUAGAGCUUUUGCCAAAUGUAAAAAGUUUGGCGAAUAAGUGGUGGGUAAGACGGGUGCCAGCCGCCGCGGUAACACCUGCGCCACAAGUGGCAAUCGCAUUUAUUGGGCCUAAAGCGUCCGUAGCCGGCUUAAUUAGUCUUCUGUGAAAUUGUGGGACUUAACCCUACAGCGUGCGGGAGAUACUGUUAAGCUUGAGACCGGGAGGAGACAGAAGUAUUCCAAAGGGAGCGGUAAAAUGUUAUAAUCUUUGGAGGACUACCUGUGGCGAAGGCGUCUGUCUAGAACGGUUCUGACGGUGAGGGUACGAAGGCCAGGGGAGCAAAACGG